UAUUCAUUAGUUGAAAAAAAAAGACUCAUAUUAAAUUAAUCCCCCACCAACCCCCUUCCCCCCUCUCUCUCGUAUUUUCCCCAAAACAAAACCCUAUCCUCUCUAUGUAGUUUUUAAUCUGAAAGCAUGUGAAAUCCUUAAAAAUCAACUAUCUCAAAUUUAUCUCUCAAAGGUUGAAGACUCACGUGAAGUCUAUUUGAACUGGGUGAAGACUCACAAACCGACAAUGAAAAUAGUUAUCAAUCUGAACAGAUUGUCUCGCGGGAGGAAAUAUGGUUCACUGCAUAUUGGUUAUAGGUGUGUACAUUAUUGAAACUUGUAAAAGUAUUGUUACUCGGAUAAUGUGUUUCGUAAAUAUGGAUAAGUUAUUUUACAUUAAUCUGUAUUUGAAAAGUGCAAUUGGACUAUAUAUGAAAAUGACAUGCUUUGAAGGAGAGGAAAGUAUGCAAUAUUCAGGUGUUCCUCUCAUUGUUGUUAUCUUUCAGAUACUUAAUAUGAUCUUCAUAAUUUUCUAGAAGGAAAUUUUCCUUUUUUUUUUACAAGGUUUGAAGAGUUGAUCUUACAAGUCAAGAUGCAAGUUUUGAAGACUUCGUGCAGUAUUCUUUAUCACUUGCCAGGGUAGUUAGGAAAAAAGUUAUUUUUGCUAAAAGAUUGUGUAAAGAGCACCAUGACAUAUGCAACAUAGUUAUACAAUUACCAGUGGGAUGUAAUACCCUUUUUUGUACAUGUACAUUUGUAUAUGAAAGCAUGAUGUUAUUGAUAUUUUUGUUA